rnacentral:rRNA from 1 species
UACAGAGGUCUCAAGCGUUGUUCGGAUUCAUUGGGCGUAAAGGGUGCGUAGGUGGUGCUGUAAGUCAGGUGUGAAAUUUCGGAGCUUAACUCCGAAACUGCAUUCGAUACUGCGGUGCUUGAGGACUGGAGAGGAGACUGGAAUUUACGGUGUAGCGGUGAAAUGCGUAGAUAUCGUAAGGAAGACCAGUGGCGAAGGCGGGUCUCUGGACAGUUCCUGACGCUGAGGCACGAAGGUCAGGGGAGCAAACGGG